rnacentral:rRNA from 1 species
CUACCGAGGCAAUGAUGGGUACCGGGUGUGACAGCAUGGUCCGGCUCACUGGGACUGAGACACUGCCCAAACGCCUACGGGUGGCUACUCUCAAGAAUCUUCCGCACUGGACGCCAGGCUGACUGAGCGACGCCGCGAGCGGGAUGAACGCCUUCGGGUAGUAAAGCGCUGUCAGUUGGGAGGAAAUGCACGAGGGUUCUCUCUUGUGUUUGACCGAUCUUCAGAGGAAGUCCGGGCUAAGUUCGUGCCAGCAGCCGCAGGUAAUACGAACCGGACGAACGUUAUUCGGAAUUACUGGGCUUAAAGAGUGCGUAGGCGGCCUUGUAUGUUGGGUGUGAAAGCCCAC